ACUCCUACGGGGAGGCAGCAGUAGGGAAUCUUCCGCAAUGGGCGAAAGCCUGACGGAGCAAUGCCGCGUGAGUGAUGAAGGUUUUCGGAUCGUAAAGCUCUGUUGCCAGGGAAGAACGCUUGGGAGAGUAACUGCUCUCAAGGUGACGGUACCUGAGAAGAAAGCCCCGGCUAACUACGUGCCAGCAGCCGCGGUAAUACGUAGGGGGCAAGCGUUGUCCGGAAUUAUUGGGCGUAAAGCGCGCGCAGGCGGUCAUUUAAGUCUGGUGUUUAAUCCCGGGGCUCAACCCCGGAUCGCACUGGAAACUGGGUGACUUGAGUGCAGAAGAGGAGAGUGGAAUUCCACGUGUAGCGGUGAAAUGCGUAGAUAUGUGGAGGAACACCAGUGGCGAAGGCGACUCUCUGGGCUGUAACUGAUGCUGAGCGCGAAAGCUAUCCC
rnacentral:rRNA from 1 species